rnacentral:misc_RNA from 1 species
UUCUAGUUUGCGUGAGGGAUAGCAGCGGAAAGCCCGGAGCCAUCAUGAAAUAUGGCGAGGACUUGCAGCGUAUAGCCCGGUCGCGG